UACGAAGGGGGGCUAGCGUUGCUCGGAAUCACUGGGCGUAAAGCGCACGUAGGCGGAUUGCUAAGUCAGGGGUGAAAUCCUGGAGCUCAACUCCAGAACUGCCUUUGAUACUGGACGACUUGAGUUCCGGGAGAGGUGAGUGGAACUGCGAGUGUAGAGGUGAAAUUCGUAGAUAUUCGCAAGAACACCAGUGGCGAAGGCGGCUCACUGGCCCGAUACUGACGCUGAGGCACGAAACCGUGGGGAGCAAACAGG
rnacentral:rRNA from 1 species